rnacentral:rRNA from 1 species
GAUGAACGCUGGCGGCGUGCCUAACACAUGCAAGUCGAGCGAUUUACUUCGGUAAAGAGCGGCGGACGGGUGAGUAACGCGUGGGUAACCUGCCCUGUACACACGGAUAACAUACCGAAAGGUAUGCUAAUACGGGAUAAUAUAAGAGAGUCGCAUGGCUUUUUUAUCAAAGUUUUGCGGUACAGGAUGGACCCGCGUCUGAUUAGCUAGUUGGUAAGGUGACGGCUUACCAAGGCGACGAUCAGUAGCCGACCUGAGAGGGUGAUCGGCCACAUUGGAACUGAGACACGGUCCAAACUCCUACGGGAGGCAGCAGUGGGGAAUAUUGCACAAUGGGCGAAAGCCUGAUGCAGCAACGCCGCGUGAGCGAUGAAGGCCUUCGGGUCGUAAAGCUCUGUCCUCAAGGAAGAUAAUGACGGU